UCAUUCGAAUUUACCCCGCACGAAAAUUUCCUCCCCUCGCUCACGUCGCGUCGUUGCUCUGCCCACCGCCACCGGCGACGCCGCCUCUCUGAGCGACCCUCCCUCUGCCCAAACCAACAUUGCAUAGUUUGAAAAGGUAAGCAGAGACUGAUUUAUUCUCUGCCUUGUGAGGAUGUAAGUACCACGUAAUUACUCUACUCAGCAACGCCCCCGUCGACCCUCUCAUCGUCUCCCCAAGUCUCCUCGUGCGGCUUCCUCGCCCUCCCCGAGUAAGUUCUACUCUACAUUCGGCCUUCUUCUGAUGUUUGCUUCCCUUUAUGUUUUCCUUGAAAAGAACAUGAUCUGAAAAGUUCAACUCAACUGGAAGAUGCGAUGUUGUUGUUUUAGUCGUACCCAAAUCAUAAAACAUUUAAUAGUUUUAGGUUCAUGAUGGGGUUUUUCCUUUUCUUGGAUUUUCACGGCAAUCCAAUAUAGGAUUUUCUUGGAUUUUCACGGCAAACAGUUAAUACUAGUGAUUUACACUAGUAAAUCAGACAAGCUCAAGAAAUGGUUCUCGUUGAUUGAUGCGGUAACGUUGUCACAUAAGAGGGUUCUAUUAACUGUUAAAAAACUUCGUGAGUCUUCUCUUGUUAGCAGCGAGUUGCAUAGGACACUGUAUGGCUUUAUUCUAUUUGAAGUUUCAUGGAACAAUGUCCGAGGCAUCAACUACUUGAAUGAUCUUCAGGGAAGACACUACUUGCAAAAACACUGGCUCGAUUUGUGAAUGUGCCCUUUGUCAUCGCUGAUGCAACAACUUUGACACAGUUGUGUCAAGAAGUGCUGCUGCAAGAUGGGUAGAGGAAAGAUUGAGAUCAAGAUGAUCGAGAACGUACACUACCAAUCGUCAAGUCACCUUCUGCAAGCGGAGAAAAGAACUCUUGAAGAAAGCUUGUGCUAUUGCUUGCUUGGUAUGCACCAAGGCUUGUGCUGUUACUUGUGCUGUUGCUUGCUUGUCUCUUGCAGAGUAUAAUAUAUAGAAGGAACAUCACCUCAAUUUGACCCAGAAAAAAAUAUGAUAUAGCAAGUGGCUUCUAACAAAAGACAAGCAUGUCUGGGAAUGUUGAGAAGGCCAUCCAGAGAAGUUAUGGGCUCUUCCCUGCUAUGAAAAUCUUCGAGAGAUCUGGGUUUGAAUUAAGGUAAACAUUCCACUAAAUAUUUUGAAUGGCUUUGUGGCACUUCUUUCGGAUGGAGGAUUUUGACAAGAUUGGAAGCGAAGGCAUGACCAGGAUAUAUUUUCAUUUGCUAUAUAUUUAGUUCUUGUAUAACUUUAAUUUUGGUAUGUGGUUGCUAAGCAUGCACUGAUUGUAAGUGAUUGUAAGAGGGAAAUAAAAGGGAAAUGAGACUUGUAAUAUACACAUUGUUUACUUUGUGUUUCAUUUGCUGUAAUAUUUGUGAGAUGAAUGAAAAGUAAGCUUAGAUCUGUAUUUGUUAACAUGUUGCAUAU